CUGCUCACUUCAGCAUCACAUAUACUAAAAUUGCAAUGAUACAGGGAAGAUUAGGAUGGCCUCUGUGCAAGGAUGACAUGCAGAUUCUUCAAGUGUUCCAUGUUUUU